UACGUAGGGACCAAGCGUUGUUCGGAUUUACUGGGCGUAAAGGGCGCGUAGGCGGCAAUUCAAGUCAUCUGUGAAAUCUCCGGGCUUAACUCGGAACGGUCAGAUGAUACUGCUUUGCUAGAGUGCGGAAGGGGCAAUCGGAAUUCUUGGUGUAGCGGUGAAAUGCGUAGAUAUCAAGAGGAACACCUGAGGUGAAGACGGGUUGCUGGGCCGACACUGACGCUGAGUGCGCGAAAGUGUGGGGAGCGAACAGG
rnacentral:rRNA from 1 species